ensembl:snRNA U6 U6 spliceosomal RNA
GUGCUGGCUUUGGCAGCACAUAUACUAAAGUUGGAACAAUACAGAGAAGAUUAGCAUGGCCCCUGAGCAAGGAAGACACACAAGUUCGUGAAGCGUUCCAUAUUUAA